rnacentral:rRNA from 1 species
CAAUAGCGUAUAUUAAAGUUGUUGCAGUUAAAAAGCUCGUAGUUGGAUUUGUGGCGUACGGUGUGUUCCGGGCACUUGUUGUCUGAGUAACCUGCUGUUGCCAUCCUUGGGUGGAACCUGUGUGGCAUUAGGUUGUCGUGCAGGGGAUGCCCAUCAUUUACUGUGAAAAAAUUAGAGUGUUCAAAGCAGGCUUAUGCCGUUGAAUAUAUUAGCAUGGAAUAAUGAGAUAGGACUUUUUUGCUAUUUUGUUGGUUUGCGCAAAGAGGUAAUGAUUGAUAGGGACAGUUGGGGGUAUUCGUAUUCCAUUGUCAGAGGUGAAAUUCUUGGAUUUUUGGAAGACGAACUACUGCGAAAGCAUUUACCAAGGAUGUUUUCAUUAA